rnacentral:rRNA from 1 species
ACGCUCGACACCUACGGGGAGGCAGCAGUAGGGAAUCUUCCACAAUGGGCGCAAGCCUGAUGGAGCAACACCGCGUGAGUGAAGAAGGGUUUCGGCUCGUAAAGCUCUGUUGUUGGAGAAGAACGUGCGUGAGAGUAACUGUUCACGCAGUGACGGUAUCCAACCAGAAAGUCACGGCUAACUACGUGCUAGCAGCCGCGGUAAUCUGAGGCGGGCUGGCAAGGC